rnacentral:rRNA from 1 species
AUUGAACGCUGGCGGCAGGCUUAACACAUGCAAGUCGAACGCCCUAGCAAUAGGGAGUGGCGCACGGGUGAGUAACACGUGGGAAUAUGCCUUUUGGUACGGAACAACGUCUGGAAACGGACGCUAAUGCCGUAUGGUCCCUUCGGGGUAAAGAUUUAUCGCCAAAAGAUUAGCCCGCGUCUGAUUAGCUAGUUGGUGAGGUAAUGGCUCACCAAGGCGACGAUCAGUAGCUGGUCUGAGAGGACGAUCAGCCACACUGGGACUGAGACGCGGCCCAGACUCCUACGGGAGGCAGCAGUUAGGAAUAUUGGACAAUGGACGCAAGUCUGAUCCAGCCAUGCCGCGUGAGUGAUGAAGGCCUUCGGGUUGUAAAGCUCUUUAGUCCACGAUUAUAAUGACUGUAGUGGAAGAAUAAGCCCCGGCUAACUUCGUGCCAGCCGCCGCGGUAAGAC